AUGUGUGGUCUGGAAGAUCAGGUGCUGAAAUGGGCUGUGAGCUGGCUGAAGGGAAGAAGCCAGAGGGUUGUGGUCAAUGGGAUGGAGCCGAGCUGGAGGCCUGGGUCUAGUGGAGUCCAUCAGGGGUCAGCGGGAAUACUGCUCAAGGCAUGCGUGGAAGGAUUCCGUCCGGAGCACACUUCUGUUUGUUCUAGUGGACAAACAACUUGGUUACUGCAAUGGCCCCAGUUUUCAGAGUCACACAGUUUGUCUCACAGACCCUCGCACUGGGUCACCUGCAUCUUCUUAAUGUCUGAUUGGCUCCCGUUGUUGGACACAAUGGUUUUGGAUGACCUACCAAACCUGGAAGAUACAUAUGCCUCCUUGUACUCCUCAGCUAUGGAAGACUUAGAGGUGGAGUUUGAUUCAGGACUGGAGGAAGAUGAACAGAAACAGGAGACUACUCCUGAAGAUUCCACAAUCUUUG
rnacentral:lncRNA from 1 species